GAUGAACGCUGGCGGCGUGCCUAAUACAUGCAAGUCGAGCGAACAGACGAGGAGCUUGCUCCUCUGACGUUAGCGGCGGACGGGUGAGUAACACGUGGAUAACCUACCUCUAAGACUGGGAUAAUUUCGGGAAACCGGAGCUAAUACCGGAUAAUAUAUUGAACCGCAUGGUUCAAUAGUGAAAGACGGUUUUGCUGUCACUUAUAGCUGGAUCCGCGUCGCAUUAGCUAGUUGGUAAGGUAACGGCUUACCAAGGCAACGAUGCGUAGCCGACCUGAGAGGGUGAUCGGCCACACUGGAACUGAGACACGGUCCAGACUCCUACGGGAGGCAGCAGUAGGGAAUCUUCGGCAAUGGGCGAAAGCCUGACGGAGCAACGCCGCGUGAGUGAUGAAGGUCUUCGGAUCGUAAAGCUCUGUUAUUAGGGAAGAACAAAUGUGUAAGUAACUAUGCACGUCUUGACGGUACCUAAUCAGAAAGCCACGGCUAACUACGUG
rnacentral:rRNA from 1 species